CCCAGGACGUGAACCAUCCUCUCAGUUCCGCACAUCCCACCUGUUAAUCACUUGGUUAUCAAAUUGCUGAGGUAUCACAAUGCUUGUGUCCAAGCGACCCUUGUUUUACUUAAUAAUGGCCCCGGAGUGCAAGAGUAGUGAUGCUGGCAAUUCGGAUCUGCCAAGGAGAAGCCAUAAAGUGCUUCCUUUAAGUGAGAAGGUGAAAGUUUUCAACUUAAUAAAGAAAUAUAAACAUUGUAUGUUGACGAUGCUGAGAUCUAUGGUAAGAACAAAUCUUCUACCCAUGGCAUUGUGAAGGACAAAGAAAUUCAUGCUAGAUUUGCUCUCACACCUCAAACUGAAAAAACGAGUGAGUGAUAAGUGCUUAGUUAAGAUGGUAAAGGCAUGAAACGUGUACAAUAAGAUAUUUUGAGAGAGACCACGUUCACAUAGCUUUUAUUAAAGUUUUUUAAAAUUUUUAUUAUUGUUGCAAUUGUUCUCUUUUAUUAUUACUAGUUAUUGUUAAUCUUUUACUGUGCCGAAUUUAGAAAUUAAACUUUAUCAUAAGUAUGUAUGUAUAGGAAAAAACGUGGUAUGUACAGGGUUUGGUACUACCCAUGGUUUCAGGCAUUCUAAAAUUCUUCCGCCACUCAGUUUUCCUCUGGGCUUCAUUGAGACUGUGUUCUGCAGCAGUGAUCUUCAAACUUUCUAAUUAGAGAUCAUCUGAAAUAGUUUUGAAAAGCUAUCUACCCCAGUAGACAUCUUGAAGUUAACAUCUGAAGUUUCUUAUCAUAAGUUGAUUUGUACAGUUAUCAUUCGCAGUAUGUUACAAAUACUUAGACUUUCAAAGAAAAAUGUUUACCUGAAUCCAGUGAUGUUGGGAAGCUGGGCGAGGAUUCCCUGCAAAUUACCUGUGCUCACAUCUUUUCUAGUGUUUGGGUUUCUAGGUUUGAGAAUUUCUGGUUGUUAAGCAGGAAAAAUAAAAAAACCAAAACCAAAAUUUCACUAAGGAUCUUUAAAAAGGAUUCUUUUAUUUGUACCUAGAAUUUUCCCAGUAUGAACUUUGCACAGCUUCUCAGUGGGUACAUGUGAAGCUUUACAAACUUCAGAAAUGUCAGUGGCAUACAUUGCAGUCUACUGAAGAUAUGAAGUGUUCCAUCACAUUUGAGAUACUUUUUAAUGGAAUUAUGGUUUUAUGUAACACUAAGAGAAAAAACACUUCCAAAUAAACUAUGAUGUAAUGCUUUCAUAGCCAUGGAAUUUUAACUUUAUACUUAAUGAAAGAGCUCUUUUUGGCAGAUACAGACACAUAUUUUUACCAUAUAUCAUGAUACUGUAAUAGUUUGGGGAUACAGCCCAGUGACAUCUGCCUUUCAGCUGCCUCCUGGCUGACAGUGAUUGCAAAAUGCCACUGAUUGCAAGGCGUACUCUGAUUUCAGAGACGCGAAAAUGUGAAGAAAAUACGCAUGUUAGAAUCAGUUCAAUACGGUAAGUCGCUCAUCAAGACAAAAAGGAUCCUGAAGGCCAGAAAGCCAAACUCCAAGACAUCAACCGAGUGAAAACACCUUUUCUGUGUGUGGCUGUCUUUACAGAAAACAAAACGUGGCUCUUAUUAUAAGUUAUCUCGGAGCACUUAAAUAACAAGGGCAAGGUACAUUUCAUUUUAAUUGCUCUUUCAUGGUCUUCUUGGCCUUUUUCCUGGCUCAGAAGUGGCAGAGUUAGGGCAGGAUCUUGGUGCGUGGGACUAUGGCUGGGCCCAGGCGGGAUCCCUGCAGCUUGACGAUGUCUAGUAUCUCUGUUGUGAAAACCACUUAGCACCGUCUUGUGUGAGGCUGGGCCUUCAAUGGCGCUGUUUGUUCUUUGUAAGUGGGCUAACAGAGGCAGCCUUUCUCCUUGUCAUGGCUUAGCUUAGUUUUAACAUAUUCAGUGUAUCCUUUUUUUGACUGAAGGGCCUACGAGUGGGAGGAACGGAGAUUGAACUGCUUUCCUAGUUUUUCUUUGACAUAGUAUUCGAGAGGCUCAGCGAGAUGAAUAAAGACGCCGCAGGAAGUACAUUAUGUGGGGAAUCAAUGAAUGAAAACAAUCUAGAUUUGUCAUCCAGGAAUUGUGCAUCUCUGAUUCUAAUGACACUCAUGAUGAUAUAAGAGAUUUACAAGAGGAAUCAAAAUGAAAAGGUUUCAUGUAAUGAGAAGACUAAGAGAACCCAAACCUAAGACUUAAGGGUCUUUUGAGGGCUCAAAAGCUGGGCUCCUCGCUUGGUUUAAUAGGUUGCAAAAUUAAAUUACAAGCAUUGCCUUUUCUAAUGUUGUGCCCUGAAUUCUGUCAGUACUCAUGAAUCUAUAGUUGUCGAAGCACCUAACGGGCGUGGCAGUACUUGUGCUGAGUCCCCCAUUUAUUCACAGGAUCCAGGGCAUCUUCUGUCUCUUUAUUUUCUCAUCUGUGAAAUGGCAAUGACAUUACACCCACCUUCCUUAACCCCAGAUGAAGCUAAUCACUAGAAUCGGAUUGAAAUGCCCAUGGAGUUAUUGCCCUCCCCAGCAUGGAGUCUGGGCAGCCCCCAGAUCUGCCUGGGGUCCUGGGGAUCUGAGUUGGGCUCAGCAGUGAGGUUGUAGAGCAGAUAUCCCAGGGCAUCGGAGCUGGGAAAUCAGUGCCCCUGUAAUCUCAAGAGCUUGAUCAGUGCCUCUCACUGCUGCCCAAAGGGCUGGGUCAAGCUCCUGGAUGGAAGUCACUGCUGUGUAGACAGGGCUAGAGGGCUGAGAAGAGAGGAGAAGGGAGUGCAGCCCGGAAACAUUCUCUGGGCACCUGGCAUGUAGUUCCAGUGGCCUUUUCUAGGGCCCGGGUGCUACAUCCCAAGUUGGAGAGGGCAUGGCCACGGGUGCCGGGACCUUGAGACUGCCACGGGAGCUUUCUGAUUGCCAAGAAAACGGAAUUGUGUUCAGAGUUGCCAUGAUCUGAGUAAGAAAAGGAGCCUUCUGUCUCCAUUGUGUGAAGGAGCUCAUUUUCCUGGAUGUAAAGGGGAAAAUGGCAUAAUACAGACCUUGAGGAAACCAGGAAAUACCAUAUGGAUAUACAUGGCCAAAUACUAUGGCUUUUAAGUAUGGAGGAUGCCUGUCAGUGACUUCGUGGUACCGCCCUGAGAGUCUUAUUUAAACAACUAUAGGCUUUUGCUCUAAUGCAAAGGAGGGAGGGAAAGGAGCACUUCAAAUGAGGUCACAGAAAAUGUCAUUUGAAAUAUCUUGGCAAUGUCCUCUGUUGCUGAUGGCGUACGGUGAUCGACAUUUUGCCUUAUUUCGCAUACCGGAGAGAGCCGAAGAUUUCGUUUCUUGUGUGUGGCAAAAGCUUUGUAGGAAUGCAUGUCCAAGAGAAGGCUGUUUAUUCCCCGCCUAAGAUGAUACAGCGUGUUUGGUUUCAUGUCUCUACUGGGAAAUGGAAGGGUUAACGUGUUGUGCACGGGAUGAAUUGGCCAGGAUAUAUUUGCAGUAUUUUGAUAUUUUUGCACUGGAGUUUGCAGUCUAGGUUCAGUCUGCAGCAAAGGCUGUGCAUCGGGUAAACCAGUGGCAAACAGCCAAUGUCUGGGCUAUGACUGGUCCAGAUCUGAGACUCCCAGCUGCCCAGCAACUUGGCUUGGGGAGGUUGCGUGACAGCCUGAAUCAGGACUGGAGACAGGGGAUAAGGAUGAUGAUUGGUCAACUGCAUCUGUGCUGAAGAGCUUGCCACUGAGCACAUGUGUUUUGAGAGGCUUUCAUCACAAGCAAGCCUGAGAGGGAAGUUGGCUGUUGCACGCGGAGGUCUGGGUACAGGCAUAAAGACGCCUGUAUGUGAGAGGAUGAGGAGCAGGGAGGGUGUGGGGGGGGUUUUGUGAACUAGAGGGAAGCGGGUUAUCUGUUCAGGUGCUUGUACCUGACUUCAGUCAAUCCCCACUCAGGUUGGAAUUGGAGCUUUUUGAGCUAAUGGUGACACUGCCUGAAAUUCUGAAUGUGUGUUGCCACAUCGCCCAAGAGAGGCCACACAUGUUGGCCAAGGCGGGUUGGGAACUCUGCAACGACCUCAUUUAUAAUAUUGGAAACUUUACAGCACUUCUCUUACGACUCAAGUUGAAACUGAGGACUGGAGAAAGGAGGAUGAUAAUAUAGUCACAGAGGUGCAAGGACCCUACGAGGACAUUUGGUGUAAUCUCUGUACCUCAAUUGUGAAAUCGCUGAUAAAUGGUUUCUCCUAUUUCUGCUUGAACGUCUCUAGGAAUGGGGAACUCGGUGGUUGCUGAGGCAGCCCAUUCCGUCUGUGGACAUCUUCCUCAGCGCUGCCUCCUGACUGGACUGAAAUCUGCCUCCCUGGGAGGCGCAUUCUGACCUCUGGGGCGAGUUGCCUUCUAGUGACACAUGGCCCUUUUGAUCAUUGAAGACAUUUAACUCUUCUCUUGCCCUAGCUUAGGCUCUGUCAUUCCGCACUUGAUGAUUUGGCCUGUGUUACCCUUGUUUCCCUCCUCUUGACCAUCCAGGUCGCCAGGGUCCCAAAGUCUUGGACAGUAUUCCUGGUGUAGGUGGAUCAUUUGUUCCUUAAUCAGAACACCGUUCCUUCGUUGACCACAUUUGACAUUUAUGGUCAGGUUGCACUGUGGACUCAUCCAGAGUUUCCAGACAGUCUAAAUGCAGCCGGAAGAUGCCCUAAACCUGCCUCACUAAGUACAACAGGGAUAGCCAAGGCUUCUGACCAAAAGUCUUUCCCUCACUGAAAAUUACGUCAUAAUGGCACAGGGAAAGAUGAAGUGGGGGGAAGACAGUUGUCUCUUGUUGAGAGCUGUAGUAUUUCUUCUCAAUGUUGUUUAUCUAAAUACCGUUUCAUAUGGACUCUGGAAGCCUGAGAAAAUUAUGGAAAAGUGAACCUUAAAUGAUAUUGAGGAAUUGUAUUCAUCACAUGUAUUACACACAGUCAAGUGGGAGUGAACUUGAAACUUCCUCUCUCUCUUUCUGCCCCCCCCCCCCCCCCCCCCCCCCCCCCCCCCNCCCCCCCCCCCCCCCGCCAAGUCUCAGGAAGGAACAAGACUACCUGCAAGUCGAGGAAAAGAGGAUUUGGUCACUUCAAAUAGAACAACUGAUUUUUUUUCUUCCUUUAGAUUUUAGCUAAAUAAUUUUAACUACAUGGGCUGAAAACUGUGAUAUAUUCCAUGUAGAAGGAACUGAAUAAUAAUCCACAGUAGAAUGUGAAGAAGAUGUGUUGUGGUGGAUUCAUGCUUCCUAUAAUUGAAUGAGAGCCGGAUCUAGUGUGAUAUUACUUUUAUGAGAAUGUUCACAUUCCUCCUGGGUUUAACCAGCACACAUCGCAAUGAUUUCUCACUCAAAAUUACGUAAUUAACUCUCCAUGCAAGGGUUAAACUCAAAAUUAUGAAAAGAAGGGUGAUCGCUAUGGCGUAUGGUGUAUUUAUGGAGAUAAUAGAACAGACUGUUUGGUAUUGGGAAUGUUCUGGAAAGAAGAGCCAUGUGGGUGAAGACUUUGCUCACAUUGUAUCAUGUUUAUGAUUAAGUAUUCUGAUGGCUCCUUCCCUUAGCAUUUACUAUAGGUACUGCUCUUUCUGCUUCUCUUCUCGGUGCUGGAAUUCCUACAGUUUCAAACCUGGUUCCCUGUCUUUGCCCUACCUUUAAUGUUCUGCAGAAAGUAGCAUGUAAGCUUCAGAUGCAACACUGAACUCAUUUAAAAAAGGAAAGAUAAAUACAUUUUCCUUGCAUUUCCAAAGAUGUCCACUAUAAGUGCAUGGGGUGGUGGUUUUUUUAGUAGGAAAAAGAAUAAAUGCAAUAAAAAGGGUUAUUUAGAUAAAGGAUGGGAUGAGCUGGGUUUGGUGAUUUUUCACAGUUUGGAACACUGGACCAGUGAACAAAGAAUGGUGUUGGAAUGCCACAGUCAUGGUGAGCAUAUGAAGCCAGGUCUAAGGACUUGGACCUUUCUUUUCUCUCUGCUGGCAGUGGGAAGUGUUGCCUGUGCCCAACUGCUUUCCCUAGGAGCAGGACUUGGCCGUGAGCAACAACAUUCCUCUGGUACCCUGGCCUCUGUGGCCACAUCCCAUCCCCGCCCUGGCCUCUGCUGUCCCUCUCAGUGGCCAACAGCCUGUAAAUAGGCAAUAGAGUGUGUGAUGAUGACAAUGCCUUGCACCAUUAAAGGCACUCGAGGAGCCUUUUCAGCAUUUUUAUAACUGAGAUAAGACAAAUGUAAAGCAUUAACCUCCACUCCAGAAGAAACCAUCUCAUUUUUCAUUUUAAUGAAACUUUAUUAAAAUUGUGCGCUUAAAAUUUAACUUGAGGGAGUUCCUGUUGUGGCUCGGCGUGUUACAAACCCAACUAGUAUCCAUGAGGAUGCAGGUUCGAUCCCUGGCCUCGCUCAGUGGGUGAAGGACCCGGCGUUGCCGUGAGCCGUGGUGUAGUUCGCAGACGCGGCUUGGAUUUGGUGUUGCUCUGGCUGUGGUGUAGGCUGGCAGCUGUAGCUCCGGUUGGACCCCUCGCCUGGGAACUUCCAUACGUCUCGGGUGCG
rnacentral:lncRNA from 1 species